rnacentral:rRNA from 1 species
UACGGAGGGUGCAAGCGUUGCUCGGAAUUAUUGGGCGUAAAGCGUGCGCAGGCGGUUUGGUAAGACAGAUGUGAAAUCCCCGGGCUUAACCUGGGAAUUGCAUUUGUGACUGCCCGGCUAGAGUGUGUCAGAGGGGGGUAGAAUUCCACGUGUAGCAGUGAAAUGCGUAGAUAUGUGGAGGAAUACCGAUGGCGAAGGCAGCCCCCUGGGAUAACACUGACGCUCAUGCACGAAAGCGUGGGGAGCAAACAGG